AGAGACAGCAGUCGCCGCGGUAAUACGUAGGUGGCGAGCGUUGUCCGGAAUUAUUGGGCGUAAAGGGAGCGCAGGCGGUUAGAUAAGUCUGAAGUUAAAGGCUGUGGCUUAACCAUAGUACGCUUUGGAAACUGUUUAACUUGAGUGCAAGAGGGGAGAGUGGAAUUCCAUGUGUAGCGGUGAAAUGCGUAGAUAUAUGGAGGAACACCGGUGGCGAAAGCGGCUCUCUGGCUUGUAACUGACGCUGAGGCUCGAAAGCGUGGGGAGCAAACAGGAUUAGAUACCCCCGUAGUCCCUGUCUCUUAUACA
rnacentral:rRNA from 1 species